UACGUAGGGUGCAAGCGUUAAUCGGAAUUACUGGGCGUAAAGCGUGCGCAGGCGGUGAUGUAAGACAGAUGUGAAAUCCCCGGGCUCAACCUGGGAACUGCAUUUGUGACUGCAUCGCUGGAGUGCGGCAGAGGGGGAUGGAAUUCCGCGUGUAGCAGUGAAAUGCGUAGAUAUGCGGAGGAACACCGAUGGCGAAGGCAGCCCCCUGGGCUAAGACUGACGCUGAGGCACGAAAGCGUGGGGAGCAAACAGG
rnacentral:rRNA from 1 species